GGGCCCGCACAAGCAGCGGAGCAUGUGGUUUAAUUCGAAGCAACGCGAAGAACCUUACCUAGACUUGACAUCUCCUGAAUUACUCGUAAUGGAGGAAGCCCUUCGGGGCAGGAAGACAGGUGGUGCAUGGUUGUCGUCAGCUCGUGUCGUGAGAUGUUGGGUUAAGUCCCGCAACGAGCGCAACCCUUAUCAUUAGUUGCUACCAUUAAGUUGAGCACUCUAGUGAGACUGCCCGGGUUAACCGGGAGGAAGGUGGGGAUGACGUCAAAUCAUCAUGCCCCUUAUGUCUAGGGCUACACACGUGCUACAAUGGGUGGUACAGAGAGACGCAAAGCCGCGAGGUGGAGCAAAACUCUAAAACCACUCCCAGUUCGGAUUGAAGGCUGAAACUCGCCUUCAUGAAGCCGGAGUUGCUAGUAAUCGCGAAUCAGCAUGUCGCGGUGAAUACGUUCCCGGGCCUU
rnacentral:rRNA from 1 species